rnacentral:rRNA from 1 species
CCGCUUACAGAUGGGCCUGCGGCGCAUUAGCUAGUUGGUGAGGUAACGGCUCACCAAGGCGACGAUGCGUAGCCGACCUGAGAGGGUGACCGGCCACACUGGGACUGAGACACGGCCCAG